rnacentral:miRNA from 1 species
AUCACCUGGGGAUUUUGUGCAAAUGCAGAUUCUGAUUUAGUGGGGCUGGAGCCUGAGAUUCUGCAUUUCUAACAAGCCCUCAGGUGAUGC